rnacentral:rRNA from 1 species
AACGAACGCUGGCGGCGUGUUUAAGACAUGCAAGUCGCACGGGAUAAGACAUGUAGUAAUACUUGUUUUAUUUAGUGGCGCACGGGUGAGUAACACGUGAAUUACACGCCCUGUAGUGGGGAAUAGCCCAGGGAAACUUGGAUUAAUACCCCAUGGUAUCGAAAGAUUAAAGGUGGCCGCAAGGCUGUCGCUAUAGGAUUGGUUCGCGCCCUAUCAGCUUGUUGGUGAGGUAACGGCUCACCAAGGCAAUGACGGGUACCUGGUCUGAGAGGACGAUAAGGCACAAUGGAACUGGGAAACGGUCCAGACACCUACGGGUGGCAGCAGUCGAGAAUAAUUCACAAUGGGGGCAACCCUGAUGGUGCAACGCCGCGUGGAGGAUGGCGGUCUUCGGAUUGGAAACUCCUGUCAUCUGGGAGAAAGACCUGACGGUAAAUAGCCGGCAGGGUUGAUAGUACCAGAAGAGGAAGGGACGGCUAACUUCGUGCCAGCAGCCGCCGUAA